rnacentral:rRNA from 1 species
CCAGACUCCUACGGGAGGCAGCAGUGAGGAAUAUUGGUCAAUGGCCGUAAGGCUGAACCAGCCAAGUCGCGUGAAGGAAGAAGGAUCUAUGGUUUGUAAACUUCUUUUAUAGGGGAAUAAAGGUAUCCACGUGUGGAUAUUUGCAUGUACCCUAUGAAUAAGCAUCGGCUAACUCCGUGCCAGCAGCCGCGGUAAUACGGAGGGUGCAAGCGUUGUCCGGAAUCAUUGGGCGUAAAGAGUUCGUAGGCGGCAUGUAAAGUCAGGUGUUAAAGGCGCAGGCUCAACCUGUGUAUGGCACUUGAUACUUGCAAGCUGGAAUGCGGUAGAGGUAAAGGGAAUUCCUGGUGUAGCGGUGAAAUGCUUAGAUAUCAGGAGGAACAUCGGUGGCGUAAGCGCUUUACUGGGCCGUAAUUGACGCUGAGGAACGAAAGCCAGGGUAGCAAAUGGGAUUAGAUACCCUAGUA